rnacentral:rRNA from 1 species
UUUAAAUUGAGAGUUUGAUCCUGGCUCAGGAUGAACGCUGGUGGCGUGCCUAAUACAUGCAAGUCGUACGCUAGCCGCUGAAUUGAUCCUUCGGGUGAAGUGAGGCAAUGACUAGAGUGGCGAACUGGUGAGUAACACGUAAGAAACCUGCCCUUUAGUGGGGGAUAACAUUUGGAAACAGAUGCUAAUACCG